UACGAAGGGGGCUAGCGUUGUUCGGAAUUACUGGGCGUAAAGCGCGCGUAGGCGGUUUCUUAAGUCGGUGGUGAAAUCCUGGAGCUCAACUCCAGAACUGCCUUCGAUACUGGGAAACUUGAGUUCGGGAGAGGUGAGUGGAACUGCGAGUGUAGAGGUGAAAUUCGUAGAUAUCGGGAGGAACACCGGUGGCGAAGGCGGCCCCCUGGUUGGAUACUGACGCUGAGACGCGAAAGCGUGGGGAGCAAACAGG
rnacentral:rRNA from 1 species